ensembl:miRNA
CCCAGGCGCCCGCUCCCUACCCACGCCGCGCCGCCGGGUCCCUCCUCCCCGGAGAGGCUGGGCUCGGGACGCGCGGCUCAGCUCGGG